rnacentral:misc_RNA from 1 species
GAUGAAGAACGCAGCGAAAUGCGAUAAGUAGUGUGAGUUGCAGAAUUCAGUGAAUCAUCGAAUCUUUGAACGCACAUUGCGCCCCUUGGUAUCCCGAGGGGCAUGCCUGUUCGAGCGUCAUUUCACCACUCAAGCCUGGCUUGGUGUUGGGCGACGUCCUCUUUGGGGACGCGCCUCGAAACGCUCGGCGGCGUGGCACCGGCUUUAAGCGUAGCAGAAUCUUUCGCUUUGGAAGUCGGGGCCCCGUCUGCCGGAAGACCUGCUCGCAAGGUUGACCUCGGAUCAGGCAGGGAUACCCGCUGAACUUAAGCAUAUCAAUAAGCGGAGGA